rnacentral:misc_RNA from 1 species
AAGUUUUUAUGAAAAGAGUGUUUAAGUUACAUGGAAUGCCAAACACAAUUACAUCUUAUCGUGACCCAGUUUUUUAAGCAAUUUCUGGAAAGAUCUGUUUGCAUUUCAAGGGGUGGGACUACAGCCUAUCAUCCACAAACUGAUGGGCAAAGUGAGGUGGUAAAUAGAUGUCUUGAAACCUAUUUACGGUGUGCAGUGGGUGAUUCCCUAGCCAAUGGGUAGAUUGGCUCAGUUUAGCAGAAUUUUGGUACAAUACUAGCUUUCAUUCAGCUAUACAAACAACUCCAUUUGAGGCCCUUUAUGGUGUACCACCACCCCUCUAUGUCCCUUAUGUGCAUGGAGAUUCUCAUGUGGAAGCUGUUGAUCUUUAUAUUCGCAAUAGAGAAACUGCCAUUGCCCUACUCCAGCAUCAUCUCCAACAAGCUAUGAACAGGAUGAAGCAACAGGUGGACAAACAUCGCACUGAUCGUGAGUUUGAUGUGGGGGAUAUGGUUUUCCUUAAGUUACAACCUUAUGCCCAAUAGUCAAUUGCUCAUUGUUCUUCCAAAUUCUAAGCUAAAUAUUAUGGUCCCUACCAAAUUAUUGAGCGUAUUGGGCAGUCUGCUUAUAGGCUUCGUCUUCCAUCUGAUGCUAUUAUCCAUAAUGUUUUCCAUGUCUCUCUUUUGAAACCUGCCUAUGCUUCCAUUACAGCUUCAUCAGAGCUUCCUCCAAUGUCUCGUCAAUCCGUCAUACAGCCACAAGCUAUUCUUGAUCGACGAAUAGUGAAGCGUAAGAAUGCCACUGCAACUCAACUACUUGUCCAUUGGCAAGGUUAUUCACCAGCAGAUGCAACCUGGGAGUUUGCUGAUGACUUCCAAUUGCAUUAUCCAUUUUUUUUCCUUACGGACAAGGAACCUUGGGGAAGGGAGUAUUGUUACAAAUUGUAAUGGAAACAGUGCGUUUGAAGGAGGCCGGAAUCAAUAACAGUAACAGAUGAUAUGUUUUUGCGUUAGAGCAGGACAGUUAUGUGGCGGGAAUAGAAAUUGUU